GCUGGGUGCGGUGGCACACACCUGUAAUCCCAGUGGCUUAGGAGGCUGAGGCAGGAAGACCACAAGUUUGAGGCCAACCUCGGCAACUUAGCAAAACCCUGCCUCAA
rnacentral:sRNA from 1 species